UACGUAGGGUGCGAGCGUUAAUCGGAAUUACUGGGCGUAAAGCGUGCGCAGGCGGUUUGUUAAGACAGAUGUGAAAUCCCCGGGCUUAACCUGGGAACUGCAUUUGUGACUGGCAAGCUAGAGUAUGGCAGAGGGGGGUAGAAUUCCACGUGUAGCAGUGAAAUGCGUAGAUAUGUGGAGGAACACCGAUGGCGAAGGCAGCCCCCUGGGUCAAGACUGACGCUCAUGCACGAAAGCGUGGGGAGCAAACAGG
rnacentral:rRNA from 1 species